UUCGGGUAAUACUGGAUGAUCUCUUUUCUCCUGAUCGAGAAUUGAGCAAAUGGUGUGAUUCCGCCUUUGGAGCGGCUUACGUGGUAUUAGGUAGUUGGUGAGGUAAUGGCCCACCAAGCCUGAGAUGCCUAGGGGGUGUGAGAGCAUGGCCCCCACCAUUGGGACUGAGACACUGCCCAGACACCUACGGGUGGCUGCAGUUGAGAAUACUUCGGCAAUGGGCGCAAGCCUGACCGAGCGACGCCGCGUGCGGGAUGAAGGCCCUUGGGUUGUAAACCGCUGUCAGAGGGGAUGAAAUGCGUAAGGGCAAUCUCUUACGUUUGACAAAGCCUCAGAGGAAGCAC
rnacentral:rRNA from 1 species